rnacentral:rRNA from 1 species
CAGGCCUAACACAUGCAAGUCGAACGGUAACAGGAAUCAGCUUGCUGAUUCGCUGACGAGUGGCGGACGGGUGAGUAAUGUCUGGGAAACUGCCUGAUGGAGGGGGAUAACUACUGGAAACGGUAGCUAAUACCGCAUAACGUCGCAAGACCAAAGAGGGGGACCUUCGGGCCUCUUGCCAUCGGAUGUGCCCAGAUGGGAUUAGCUAGUAGGUGGGGUAAAGGCUCACCUAGGCGACGAUCCCUAGCUGGUCUGAGAGGAUGACCAGCCACACUGGAACUGAGACACGGUCCAGACUCCUACGGGAGGCAGCAGUGGGGAAUAUUGCACAAUGGGCGCAAGCCUGAUGCAGCCAUGCCGCGUGUAUGAAGAAGGCCUUCGGGUUGUAAAGUACUUUCAGCGGGGAGGAAGGGAGUAAAGUUAAUACCUUUGCUCAUUGACGUUACCCGCAGAAGAAGCACCGGCUAACUCCGUGCCAGCAGCCGCGGUAAUACGGAGGGUGCAAGCGUUAAUCGGAAUUACUGGGCGUAAAGCGCACGCAGGCGGUUUGUUAAGUCAGAUGUGAAAUCCCCGGGCUCAACCUGGGAACUGCAUCUGAUACUGGCAAGCUUGAGUCUCGUAGAGGGGGGUAGAAUUCCAGGUGUAGCGGUGAAAUGCGUAGAGAUCUGGAGGAAUACCGGUGGCGAAGGCGGCCCCCUGGACGAAGACUGACGCUCAGGUGCGAAAGCGUGGGGAGCAAACAGGAUUAGAUACCCUGGUAGUCCACGCCGUAAACGAUGUCGACUUGGAGGUUGUGCCCUUGAGGCGUGGCUUCCGGAGCUAACGCGUUAAGUCGACCGCCUGGGGAGUACGGCCGCAAGGUUAGAACUCAAAUGAAUUGACGGGGGCCCGCACAAGCGGUGGAGCAUGUGGUUUAAUUCGAUGCAACGCGAAGAACCUUACCUGGUCUUGACAUCCACAGAACUUUCCAGAGAUGGAUUGGUGCCUUCGGGAACUGUGAGACAGGUGCUGCAUGGCUGUCGUCAGCUCGUGUUGUGAAAUGUUGGGUUAAGUCCCGCAACGAGCGCAACCCUUAUCCUUUGUUGCCAGCGGUCCGGCCGGGAACUCAAAGGAGACUGCCAGUGAUAAACUGGAGGAAGGUGGGGAUAACGUCAAGUCAUCAUGGCCCUUACGACCAGGGCUACACACGUGCUACAAUGGCGCAUACAAAGAGAAGCGACCUCGCGAGAGCAAGCGGACCUCAUAAAGUGCGUCGUAGUCCGGAUUGGAGUCUGCAACUCGACUCCAUGAAGUCGGAAUCGCUAGUAAUCGUGGAUCAGAAUGCCACGGUGAAUACGUUCCCGGGCCUUGUACACACCGCCCGUCACACCAUGGGAGUGGGUUGCAAAAGAAGUAGGUAGCUUAACCUUCGGGAGGGCGCUUACCACUUUGUGAUUCAUGACUGGGGUGAAAUC